rnacentral:rRNA from 1 species
GACGAACGCUGGCGGCGUGCCUAAUACAUGCAAGUAGAACGCUGAAGGAGGAGCUUGCUCUUCUGGAUGAGUUGCGAACGGGUGAGUAACGCGUAGGUAACCUGCCUGGUAGCGGGGGAUAACUAUUGGAAACGAUAGCUAAUACCGCAUAAGAGUAGAUGUUGCAUGACAUUUGCUUAAAAGGUGCAAUUGCAUCACUACCAGAUGGACCUGCGUUGUAUUGGCUAGUUGGUGAGGUAACGGCUCACCAAGGCGACGAUACAUAGCCGACCUGAGAGGGUGAUCGGCCACACUGGGACUGAGACACGGCCCAGACUCCUACGGGAGGCAGCAGUAGGGAAUCUUCGGCAAUGGACGGAAGUCUGACCGAGCAACGCCGCGUGAGUGAAGAAGGUUUUCGGAUCGUAAAGCUCUGUUGUAAGAGAAGAACGAGUGUGAGAGUGGAAAGUUCACACUGUGACGGUAUCUUACCAGAAAGGGACGGCUAACUACGUGCCAGCAGCCGCGGUAAUACGUAGGUCCCGAGCGUUGUCCGGAUUUAUUGGGCGUAAAGCGAGCGCAGGCGGUUAGAUAAGUCUGAAGUUAAAGGCUGUGGCUUAACCAUAGUACGCUUUGGAAACUGUUUAACUUGAGUGCAAGAGGGGAGAGUGGAAUUCCAUGUGUAGCGGUGAAAUGCGUAGAUAUAUGGAGGAACACCGGUGGCGAAAGCGGCUCUCUGGCUUGUAACUGACGCUGAGGCUCGAAAGCGUGGGGAGCAAACAGG